UUUUGGCUUAGUUAGGAGGCAGAUAUUAAUUUGAUUUGAUUUGAUUUAAUUUAAUUUCAGUGUUUUGUGACCGAGGCCUUUUGGGUUUCUCAAUCGAUUGUCCUCCAAGCAGCCUCACACAUUC